GUAAAGGCUGUUUACAAACUUGACAUACACACGCAGUGCUAAUCGCCAGGUUCUGGAAUUGGGGGUUACAAUCUUGGGAUCUAGAGGCGUUCUGAUACCCGGGGUCAGGCACCUGACUUAUGCCCAGCGAGGACACAACUUAACGAAGAACGGAAGGAUUUCUGCGCUCUGGCCCUCUAUCUUAGGGCAGCGAUGACUCACUUGCAGCACCCCAUCCCUCCUGGCCAAACUGUGGUCUCCGCCCACCCCCAACCAUCUCAGCGAAGCGCUGCUGCGGCUCCGGGUGCGUUGUUGGGGGGAUAACAAGGGCACAAUUCCAUCCUUUGUCAGUCUCCGGGCUUUUUCUUUGCUCCCCACCCAAAUCUUCGCUGAGCAGCGGAGAUCGAUGCGACACCCAGACCCGGAACUCCAGACCCACCAACAGCGCCCGGAGGGGCCAGCCAAGAGCCCGGCAAACCUCAGCACUAACCAAGCCUUCCUCUAUGCCUGGAGCUGAGCUAAGAAGCCGAGUACAAGAGGAAGACACUCUGAACUGUGGUUGGCGUCGGGUUGGAAGCUGAACAUGCCACAGCUUUGUCAUAUUGCCCCUGACACGGAUUUCGGUAUUUUAUUAUUCUUCUCAAGUAAAGCUUGGACCAGUUUCUUUCCCUUUGAACGCUGAGGGCUUGGUUUCCAGCUUCCUUUGCUGGAAGGCAUAUUAUGAAAUAGGAUGUACCUUCAGAGAUGCAGCACUUUUUCUGGGAACCAAGUAAAAACAAGGAUCUUCAGCUUAAAUUAUCUGUAAGGUACACAGAAGUCUGUCUACUUGCUCCGGGUCCGGGUGUCCCACCAACACCGAAGACAUCACCAACCCUUUGGGAGCUACUAUGAGUCUGGAAGAAGUAUCUUGAGCCUCUGGAGAAGAGUAAACUGCCUGCAAGAUUAUGAUAUUUUAUGACCUGUUAUAGAUGGAAAUUCCAAGGAACUCAUCUGGGGUGAGCAGACACAGUGCCAACACUGGAGGAAGAACUGUGAAAUGUGCCAUCUUCUCUGUGAACUGGAGGCAAACACUUGCUAGCACAACAAAAGAACUUGAGUGUUUCGCUCCACCGACCCUCACUGAGCGUGCACGGGGCAUUGAUGGGGCAGAAAUGCAAUCAAAUCUCAGGUUGUGUUUUCUCUGCUUCCUCCCAUUAAACAGCUUCAUAUGAAUUGUUCCCCAAGCUAGUAGUAAAAUUUAACCAUUACUCCUUGCAGGAAAAAUGGAAAUCGUCACCUCCCUGGGAAGUCAUCUCUUGGUGCAAUUCUUGCUGACUUCAGCAAGCUUAAAUGCACACACACAUGGCAGGGCUUUCCAGAGUCUCUGUGCGGACCCACAUAGAUCCUUCUAUGAUCCAUGCAAGAAGGGUCAACUUCACCUAAGAACUCUAGAAAUGAAAAUUCUUGGGCCCUCCCUGAUGGCACAGCUGAUUGAGGUGCAGCACU